rnacentral:rRNA from 1 species
AAACCAACCGGGAUUGCCUUAGUAACGGCGAGUGAAGCGGCAAAAAGCUCAAAUUUGAAAUCUGGUACCUUCGGUGCCCGAGUUGUAAUUUGGAGAGGGCAACUUUGGGGCCGUUCCUUGUCUAUGUUCCUUGGAACAGGACGUCAUAGAGGGUGAGAAUCCCGUGUGGCGAGGAGUGCGGUUCUUUGUAAAGUGCCUUCGAAGAGUCGAGUUGUUUGGGAAUGCCGCUCUAAGUGGGUGGUAAAUUCCAUCUAAAGCUAAAUAUUGGCGAGAGACCGAUAGCGAAUAAGUACAGUGAUGGAAAGAUGAAAAGAACUUUGAAAAGAGAGUGAAAAAGUACGUGAAAUUGUUGAAAGGGAAGGGCAUUUGAUCAGACAUGGUGUUUUGUGCCCUCUGCUCCUUGUGGGUAGGGGAAUCUCGCAUUUCACUGGGCCAGCAUCAGUUUUGGUGGCAGGAUAAAUCCAUAGGAAUGUAGCUUGCCUCGGUAAGUAUUAUAGCCUGUGGGAAUACUGCCAGCUGGGA